GUUGUUUAUAGUUCACUUACAGGUUUGACAUCUGUGCCUAAGGGGUACCACCCGUGGGCGUCCCUGGUGGCUCAGUGGUAAAGAAUCUACCUGCCAGUGCAAGAGACCCGGAUUUGAUCUCUGGGUUGCAAAGACCCCCUGAAGAAGGAAAUGGCAACCCACCCCAGUAUUCCUGCCUGGGCAGUCCCAUGAACAGCGGAGCCUGGUGGGCUACAGUCCAUGGGGUCCGCAGAGAGUUGGACCCUACUUAGCAACUAAAACAUCAGCAAGUAUCACCUGUACCUCUCAGGGAGAAGAACACUGAAAUCCAUAAGGACCAGAUUAGCUUUAUCUAAUAUUUUUGUUCAGGGGCUUUUGAUUCUGAAUUUAUGUCACCCAUGGGCAUCUUUAUUUUCUGGUAGGAAGUGGGCCUCUCUUUACUCCUGUCUCGGGGAAAGAACCUUGUGAGGCAGAUGAUAAACCCUAGAAAGGUACAGUUAACA
rnacentral:lncRNA from 1 species